UCAUUAUGGGCCACCUCUUGUAACAUCACCAGGGGCCAUCCUUAGGUCUCAGGUAUUGAUUCUGAAAUGAAUGACAUGACAUCACUAAGUGAUACACUUUGUGACAUCACUAGGGACCACUUCUUGUAACAUCGGGAUGAGCCAUCCUUAAGUCACAGAUAAGUUAAAAAUUUGAGGCAUGUAACAAUAUGAUGGACACAAGGAAUCCUUCGGAAACAAGAAAAAAAAUAACACACAUUUCCCAUGUAAUGUGGGGAUUCAAGAGAAGCACCCAAGGAAGAGAGAUGUUCCAGUCAGAUGAUAUCCUGCUGCAUCUCUUCUGAGCAACCGUUGGAUCCAGAGAGUGUUAUAAAAAUUCCAGCAUCUGUUCCAGCGUGUGAGAUAUCUCCAGUCACGACAGUCACUUCAUACAGAAUCUGGGUGGAAAUAAAGCAACCCAUAAGUCCUUA